UGCAACGCUGGCGGCAGUGCCUACACAUGCAAGUCGAACGGCAGCACGGGGAAAACCCCUCAGGGGUUGUAGUGGCGAACGGGUGAGUAAUGCAUCGUGGGUGAACGUGCCCAGUCGAUGGGGGAUAGCGUCCGCGAAGGGACGCUAAUACCGCAUAAGCACCUGCCUUUGACAGGGUGAGAUGCAAAGCCGGGGGAUCCGCAAGGACCUGGCGUGUUGAGAGGGCCCGCGUCAUGAGUUAGGCUAGUUUGGUGAGGUAACUGGCUCACCAAGGCGACGAUCAGUAUCCUGCCUGAGAGGCGGACGGACACACUGGGAACUUGAAGGGAACACGGCCCAACUCCUACGGGAGGCAGCAGUGGGGAAUUGUUCGCAAUGGGCGCAAGCCUGACGACGCAACGCCGCGUGGGAGGGAUGAGGUCUUCGGAGUUGUAAACUCCUUUGCCGGACGAAACGCUUCGAGCCGAACAACGGAUCGGAGUUUGACGUGUACGCGGGUGAGGAAGCCCCGCUAACUCUGUGCCAGCAGCCGCGGUAAUACAGAGGGGGGCAAGCGUUGUUCGGAAUUACUGGGCGUAAAGGGGCGCGUAGGCGGCCUUACUAAGUCGAACGUGAAAUCCCCGGGCUCAACCGCGGGAACUGCGUCCGAUAGCUGAAGGCUUGAGUCCGGGAGAGGGGGAUGCGGAUUCCAGGUGUAGCGGUGAAGGAAAUUGCGUAGAUAUCUGGAGGAACACCGGUGGCGAAGGCGGCAUCCUGGACCGCAUUGACGCUGAGGCGCGAAAGCCAGGGGAGCAAACGGGAUUAGAUACCCCGGUAGUCCUGGCCCUAAACGAUGAAUGCUUGGUGUGGCGGGUAUCGAUCCCUGCCGUGCCGAAGGCUAACGCAUUAAGCAUUCCGCCUGGGGAGUACGGUCGCAAGCUGAAACUCAAAGGAAUUGACGGGGGCCCGCACAAGCGGUGGAGCAUGUGGUUCAAUUCGACGCAACGCGAAGAACCUUACCCAGGCUUGAAACAUGCGAGUGACAAUCCUACGAAAGUGAGCUUCCGCAAGGACACUCGUAGAGGUGCUGCAUGGCUGUCGUCAGCUCGUGUCGUGAGAUGUUGGGUUAAGUCCCGCAACGAGCGCAACCCUUGUCUGCUGUUGCCAUCAGGUAUAUGCCUGGGCACUCUGAAGAGACUGCCGGUGAUAAACCGGAGGAAGGUGGGAUGACGUCAAGUCAGCAUGGCCUUUAUGUCUGGGGCCUACACACGUGCUACAAUGGCCCGGUACAAACCGUCGCGAAACCCGUGAAGGGUCAGCUAUCGGAGAAAGCCGGUCUCAGUCGGAUUAGUAGGCUGCAAACUCGCCUGCUGAAGUUGGAAUCGCUAGUAAUCGCGGAUCAGCACGCCGCGGUGUAAUACGUUCCCGGGCCUUGUACACACCGCCCGUCACAUCACGAAGCCGGCUGUACUAGAAGUCGCUGCCAUCUAACCCGCAAGGGGAAGGCAAGGCGCCUAAGGUAUGGUCGGUGAUUGGGGUG
rnacentral:rRNA from 1 species